rnacentral:rRNA from 1 species
AGCUAGUUGGUAGGGUAAUGGCCUACCAAGGCGAUGACGGUUAGGGGACCUGAGAGGGUGACCCCCCACACUAGCACUGAAACACGGGCUAGACAUCUACGGAUGGCAGCAGUAGGGAAUAUUGCACAAUCGACGAAAGUCUGAUGCAGCAACGCCGCGUGUGCGAUGAAGGCCUUCGGGUUGUAAAGCACUUUUCUGAGGGAAGAGAAAGGACGGUACCUCAGGAAUAAGUCUCGGCUAACUACGUGCCAACAGCCGCGGUAAUACGUAGGAGGCGAGCGUUAUCCGGAUUUAUUGGGCGUAAAGCGCGUGCAGGUGGUUUGGUAAGUUGGGUAUGAAAUCUCCUGGCUUAACUAGGAGAGGUUGCUCAAAACUACCAGGCUAGAGGACGAUAGAGGAAGGUGGAAUUCCCGGUGUAGUAGUGAAAUGCGUAGAUAUCGGGAGGAACACCAGUGGCGAAGGCGGCCUUCUGGGUCGUUCCUGACACUAAGACGCGAAAGCAUGGGUAGCAAACGGGAUUAGAAACCCCGGUAGUCCAUGCCGUAAACGAUGUGAACUUGAUGUCGGUGGCGUAAUAGUCAUCGGUGUCGUAGCUAACGCGAUAAGUUCACCGCCUGGGGAGUACGAUCGCAAGGUUAAAACUCAAAGGAAUUGACGGGGACCCGCACAAGCAGCGGAGCGUGUGGUUUAAUUCGAUCUACACGAAGAACCUUACCUGGGCUUGACAUAUAGGUGGUAGGGAUCCGAAAGGUGACCGACCCUUCGGGGAGCUUAUACAGGUGCUGCAUGGCUGUCGUUAGCUCGUGCCGUGAGGUGUCCGGUUAAGUCCGGUAACGAGCGCAACCCUUGCCGUAUGUUACAUGUGUCAUGCGGGACUGCCGGUACAAAACCGGAGGAAGGUGGGGACGACGUCAAGUCAGCAUGGCCUUUAUGUCCAGGGCUACACACACGCUACAAUGGCCGGUACAAUGGGUAGCAAAGUCGCGAGGCGAAGCCAAUCCUCAAAACCGGUCCCAGUUCGGAUUGCAGUCUGCAACUCGACUGCAUGAAGCCGGAGUUGCUAGUAAACGCGCGUCAGCAAUAGUGCGUUGAAUACGUUCCCGGGUCUUGUACACACCGCCCGUCACGUCAUGGAAGCUGGUAAUACUUGAAGUCGGUAUCUUAACCCUCACGGGAAGGAGCUGGCGAGGGUAGGACCGGUGACUGGGACGAAGUCGUAACAAGGUAGGUGUACCGGAAGGUGCGCCUGG